rnacentral:tRNA from 1 species
CGGGACGUGGCGCAGUUUGGUAGCGCGCAGCGUUCGGGACGCUGAGGUCGUGGGUUCAAAUCCCGCCGUCCCGACCA